rnacentral:SRP_RNA from 2 species
GCUGGGCGUGGUGGCUCAUGCCUGUAAUCCCAGCAUGAUGGGAGGCCGAGGCAGGUGGGUCACCUGAGGUCAGGAGUUCGAGACUAGCCUGGCCAACAUGGUGAAACCCUGUCUCUA